rnacentral:rRNA from 1 species
UGGGGAAUUUUGGACAAUGGGCGAAAGCCUGAUCCAGCAAUGCCGCGUGUGUGAAGAAGGCCUUCGGGUUGUAAAGCACUUUUGUCCGGAAAGAAAUCCUUGGCUCUAAUACAGUCGGGGGAUGACGGUACCGGAAGAAUAAGCACCGGCUAACUACGUGCCGGCAGCCGCGGUAAUACGUAGGGUGCAAGCGUUAAUCGGAAUUACUGGGCGUAAAGCGUGCGCAGGCGGUUUGCUAAGACCGAUGUGAAAUCCCCGGGCUCAACCUGGGAACUGCAUUGGUGACUGGCAGGCUAGAGUAUGGCAGAGGGGGGUAGAAUUCCACGUGUAGCAGUGAAAUGCGUAGAGAUGUGGAGGAAUACCGAUGGCGAAGGCAGCCCCCUGGGCCAAAUACUGACGCUCAUGCACGAAAGCGUGGGGAGCAAACAGGAUUAGAUACCCUGGUAGUCCACGCCCUAAACGAUGUCAACUAGUUGUUGGGGAUUCAUUCCUUAGUAACGUAGCUAACGCGUGAAGUUGACCGCCUGGGGAGUACGGUCG